rnacentral:rRNA from 1 species
UUGGAGGGCAAGUCUGGUGCCAGCAGCCGCGGUAAUUCCAGCUCCAAUAGCGUAUAUUAAAGUUGUUGUGGUUAAAAAGCUCGUAGUUGAACCUUGGGCCUGGCUGGCCGGUCCGCCUCACCGCGUGUACUGGUCCGGCCGGGCCUUUCCCUCUGUGGAACCCCAUGCCCUUCACUGGGUGUGGCGGGGAAACAGGACUUUUACUGUGAAAAAAUUAGAGUGCUCCAGGCAGGCCUAUGCUCGAAUACAUUAGCAUGGAGUAAUAGAAUAGGA